rnacentral:lncRNA from 1 species
GUUAACUGGCCGAUUGGGCAAUAGGCCACAAGAGAGGAUAAUGUGUUGAAGAAUCAGAUGAAGCAUCGAUGGACCAAUGACAUACCAAACAACCUGAUUCAUGCUUAGUAAUAAUUGUCUAGAUCGAAGUAUGUUUUUAUAUGUGCAGGAUUAACUACGAUAGCAAGGCAUAAAGCAAAAUAAAGUCCCAGAAUCAAGAACGCGAUUUCGUUGGAAGUUCGAGAGUUCAUCG